GACGAACGCUGGCGGCGUGCUUAACACAUGCAAGUCGAACGGAAAGGCUCCAGCUUGCUGGAGUACUCGAGUGGCGAACGGGUGAGUAACACGUGGGUGAUCUGCCCUGCACUUCGGGAUAAGCCUGGGAAACUGGGUCUAGUACCGGAUAGGACCGCACUUUGGUGUGUGUGGUGGAAAGGUUUUUCUGGUGUGGGAUGAGCUCGCGGCCUAUCAGUUUGUUGGUGGGGUAAUGGCCUACCAAGACGGCGACGGGUAGCCGGCCUGAGAGGGUGGACGGUCACAUUGGGACUGAGAUACGGCCCAGACUCCUACGGGAGGCAGCAGUGGGGAAUAUUGCACAAUGGGGGAAACCCUGAUGCAGCGACGCCGCGUGGGGGAUGAAGGCCUUCGGGUUGUAAACUCCUUUCGCUAGGGACGAAGCUUUUUGUGACGGUACCUGGAGAAGAAGCACCGGCUAACUACGUG
rnacentral:rRNA from 1 species